UACAGAGGGGGCAAGCGUUGUUCGGAAUUACUGGGCGUAAAGGGCCAGUAGGCGGCCUGCUAAGUCACACGUGAAAUCCCCAGGCUUAACCUGGGAACUGCGUGUGAUACUGGAUGGCUUGAAUUCGGGAGAGGGAUGCAGAAUUCCAGGUGUAGCGGUGAAAUGCGUAGAUAUCUGGAGGAAUACCGGUGGCGAAGGCGGCAUCCUGGACCGACAUUGACGCUGAACGGCGAAAGCUAGGGGAGCAAACGGG
rnacentral:rRNA from 1 species